rnacentral:rRNA from 1 species
AUGAACGCUAGCGACAGGCUUAACACAUGCAAGUCGAGGGGCAGCAUGAUUUGUAGCAAUACAGAUUGAUGGCGACCGGCGCACGGGUGAGUAACGCGUAUGCAACUUACCUAUCAGAGGGGGAUAGCCCGGCGAAAGUCGGAUUAAUACCCCAUAAAACAGGGGUCCCGCAUGGGAAUAUUUGUUAAAGAUUCAUCGCUGAUAGAUAGGCAUGCGUUCCAUUAGGCAGUUGGCGGGGUAACGGCCCACCAAACCGACGAUGGAUAGGGGUUCUGAGAGGAAGGUCCCCCACAUUGGUACUGAGACACGGACCAAACUCCUACGGGAGGCAGCAGUGAGGAAUAUUGGUCAAUGGCCGAGAGGCUGAACCAGCCAAGUCGCGUGAAGGAAGAAGGAUCUAUGGUUUGUAAACUUCUUUUAUAGGGGAAUAAAGUGGAGGACGUGUCCUUUUUUGUAUGUACCCUAUGAAUAAGCAUCGGCUAACUCCGUGCCAGCAGCCGCGGUAAUACGGAGGAUGCGAGCGUUAUCCGGAUUUAUUGGGUUUAAAGGGUGCGUAGGUGGUGAUUUAAGUCAGCGGUGAAAGUUUGUGGCUCAACCAUAAAAUUGCCGUUGAAACUGGGUUACUUGAGUGUGUUUGAGGUAGGCGGAAUGCGUGGUGUAGCGGUGAAAUGCAUAGAUAUCACGCAGAACUCCGAUUGCGAAGGCAGCUUACUAAACCAUAACUGACACUGAAGCACGAAAGCGUGGGGAUCAAACAGGAUUAGAUACCAUGGUAGUCCACGCAGUAAACGAUGAGUACUAUGAGUUUGCGAUACAAUGUAAGCUCUACAGCGAAAGCGUUAAGUAAUCCACCUGGGGAGUACGCCGGCAACGGUGAAACUCAAAGGAAUUGACGGGGGCCCGCACAAGCGGAGGAACAUGUGGUUUAAUUCGAUGAUACGCGAGGAACCUUACCCGGGUUUGAACGUAGUCUGACCGGAGUGGAAACACUCUUUCUAGCAAUAGCAGAUUACGAGGUGCUGCAUGGUUGUCGUCAGCUCGUGCCGUGAGGUGUCGGCUUAAGUGCCAUAACGAGCGCAACCCUUAUCACUAGUUACUAACAGGUGAAGCUGAGGACUCUGGUGAGACUGCCAGCGUAAGCUGUGAGGAAGGUGGGGAUGACGUCAAAUCAGCACGGCCCUUACAUCCGGGGCGACACACGUGUUACAAUGGCAUGGACAAAGGGCAGCUACCUGGUGACAGGAUGCUAAUCUCCAAACCAUGUCUCAGUUCGGAUCGGAGUCUGCAACUCGACUCCGUGAAGCUGGAUUCGCUAGUAAUCGCGCAUCAGCCAUGGCGCGGUGAAUACGUUCCCGGGCCUUGUACACACCGCCCGUCAAGCCAUGGGAGCCGGGGGUACCUGAAGUCCGUAACCGCAAGGAUCGGCCUAGGGUAAAACUGGUGACUGGGGCU